GGAAGAAGAUUGAAGGCCAAAAACCUAAUUAAUGGAUGAAAGCAUAAGAAGUAAAGUUGCAAAACAAAGGGUUGAUAAUUUUUAGAUAGCUUGACAGAGAAUUAGGAAACAGAUGGUAUAAUAAUAUCAUGAUGCCUGUUGGAGGGGAGCCCUGUAAAUGAUCCAGUUCUGUGCACCUGCAAUACUGUGGUGUUCCUACAGAGGCAGCUUAUGUGAGGCCACCAGAAAGGAGGCGCUUGCUGGUUUCGUUUUUGCACUGAAUGUAGCCAGGACGGAUCCUUGUGGGCUUUGGCAGCCCUUGGAAACUGUCAAAGGCAGUAUUUUGCAUUUCUGCAGAGUUUUGCACAGAUCCUGUUCCCAUGCAAACUGAUGAGGGAGAAAUACUGGAGGAAGGCAGUCCCAAGAUGGAACAUGAGGAUUUUGUAAUGGAAGGGCAUGGCAAGACUCCACCUCCUGGUGAAGAAAACAAACAGUGAGUCACAUGUUUAUUUAAAAAGGGCCUUACCAUAGUAAAUGGUGUGAAGCACUCUUGUUUAAACGUGCUAGAAGCAUUGGUUGUUCAUUUGGUGCUUGCCCUUUUGUUUCCUUAAAUAUCUGUAUUUAAUAGUGGAUGGUGGCUGGAAAAAAAUCAGGAUGUUGACUUGCCUUGAAUGUAAAAGCAUAGAAAUGUUUUGCAACUGAAGCAGGUAAAUCAGAAUUUGCUGUAAAAUGGAUAAUCAUCCUAGAAGUUUGGCACUGAGGUAGUGAAUUUACCUUUAACUUUUAAAGUAGAAAUUUGUACUUGAAGCUUUUACGUAUGUCUUUUUCAGUGAAGUCAUUUGAAAUACAAUACUAGGGCUUUCCUCUUGGUGUGCUUAAGGUAGAUUGGUCCUCUUUGAAAUAUGAGCCUUACUUGUUUAAAGUAUGUUUUAAUACAGGAACGUAAAUUGUAAACAAGAUGCUCUUUCAAGAAUGGACAAUUUAAGAUGCUAAUGUUCAAUAUUCUAGGGAGAGAAGGAACAGCUUGAUUAAAGAAGAAAAUGACAGAUUUCUAUUAGCAAAAGGCAUAUAUAAAAUGUCUUUCACAUAUGACUUCAGACUGAAAUCCAAAAGCAGUAGGGUUUUUUCUUUUCCUGUUUGUUUUUUCUUGGGCUUUCCUCGUUUUGUUCAGGUGGGAAGAGCAGAGCCCUAUCCUAGAGGUAUUUCAGUGAUGGAUGUCUUCAAUAUGGCUCGGGUAGUAUUCUCUUCAGCCAGUGCAAGGGUAGUUCAAUUUUACUAUCAUAAUUAAAUGGUUUUCCUGACUUACCUUUUGGAGCAAGCAAGAAGAUGGUCUUUGACAAAUCCACAGAGCCAGAGCCUUUUUUCCUCCUCAUG
rnacentral:lncRNA from 1 species